GACGAACGCUGGCGGCGUGCCUAACACAUGCAAGUCGAACGGAAAGGCCCUGCUUUUGUGGGGUGCUCGAGUGGCGAACGGGUGAGUAACACGUGAGUAACCUGCCCUUGACUUUGGGAUAACUUCAGGAAACUGGGGCUAAUACCGGAUAGGAGCUCCUGCUGCAUGGUGGGGGUUGGAAAGUUUCGGCGGUUGGGGAUGGACUCGCGGCUUAUCAGCUUGUUGGUGGGGUAGUGGCUUACCAAGGCUUUGACGGGUAGCCGGCCUGAGAGGGUGACCGGGCACAAUGGGCCUGAGGUACGGCCCAGGCUCCUACGGGAGGCAGCAGUGGGGAAUAUUGCACAAUGGGCGGAAGCCUGAUGCAGCAACGCCGCGUGCGGGAUGACGGCCUUCGGGUUGUAAACCGCUUUCGCCUGUGACGAAGCGUGAGUGACGGUAAUGGGUAAAGAAGCACCGGCUAACUACGUG
rnacentral:rRNA from 1 species